rnacentral:rRNA from 1 species
UACGGGGGGGAGCAAGCGUUGUUCGGAUUUACUGGGCGUAAAGGGCGCGUAGGCGGCCACCGCAAGUCGACUGUGAAAUCUCCGGGCUUAACCCGGAAAGGUCAGCCGAUACUGCGGGGCUAGAGUGCAGAAGGGGCAACUGGAAUUCUCCGGUGUAGCGGUGAAAUGCGUAGAUAUCGAGAGGAACACCUGCGGCGAAGGCGGGUUGCUGGGCUGACACUGACGCUGAUGCGCGAAAGCUAGGGGAGCGAACGGG